AAAAAAAAAAAGGGGGCAGAGAAUCUAAGGACAUUACGAAAUAGAAAGUACAGUGACGUAAUGGUGUAAGAAAAAUCUAAAGGAAUAAGAUUUGAUAUAAGAAAGUGGUAAGUACGAGUUUGACAGGUGAAACUCGGAAAUUAUAGAGAUGAGUGAAGGAGUUGUAAAGAUGUAGUCAAUAUGAAAACUGUGAAAGAAAUGGGAAUAAGAAAAGAUAGUGAUAUUUGGAUGAGAACGCAGUGGAAAUGAUAGGUAGAGUCGGUAAACAUUAACGAGAAAGUAAAAGUAAUUAAUGAGAUAAGGACCAAUGAAAGAAUUUUAUAUAUUGGAAAAGAGAAGAUGUAAAGUAUCAGAGUAGCGCAGUGGAAGCGCAAAGGAUUUAUAUUUUACAUUAAAAUGAGUAACUGGUAAGCACAAACGAGUUUUAAGCAAUUCGAGGACGAAUUGUUUUUAAGUGGGGGAGAAUGUAAUACCCCGAAAAUUUAAGGAUGUAAUUUUAAAAGAUCGGACGGUGAGAUUAGUCCCGUUGACGUAUGAGCCGGGAGUAGAAAAGUCAAUUUGACGAUGUAAGGUCAUAAUCGAGUCAAAUUGUGUGAAUUAUGUGAUUACGUGUUAGAAAUAGAUUGCGUGCUAUUUAUUAUGUGCAGUGGCAUUUUCGUAAAUAAAUGCAAAAUAUUUUAAAAUGAGUUUUAAAAUAUUGUAAAAUAGGUUAAAUAUGAAAUUUGACUUUUUAAGUUAAAAUAAAUAAGAAUGCAUCGGAAUUGGUUUCCGAGAAAAUAUUAUUUAUGUUAAAAACCGUUAAAAUAGUAUGUAAUUAAUUAAUCAUAAAAAUAAAUAUACUAUAAAAUAUAGUGUAGAGACUAAAAGGAGAACAAAUGGGGUGUAAGGGUUGUGACACAUGUAGAUACAUGUGUCAUGGAAACAAAAAGGGGUUGUAGAGAUUGUGACACAUGUAGAUAUAUGUGUCAUGCAAGAAGAAGGAAUUUAUAAAAGUAUGACACAUGUUAAAACAUGUGUCAUGUGUAGAGACAAAAGAAUUAAAAAAGGGUUUGAUUUUUCUUUAAAGAUGACACAUGUUAUGCUAUGUGUCACUUGGAUAAAACAACUUGGUGACUAAGUUACUAAAUAAAGUUAUGGAAGGAUUAUAGUUAAAGAAACAAAUAAAGUUAGGGAUUAAAAGGGUGCUUUUGACUUGCUAUUUUCGGAUAUUUCUAGAGGAAAGAGAAUUUUCCUAUUUUAGUUAGACAACUUCAUCUUCUUCAUUGUGUUUUCUCUUUCAUUAAACUUCACCCCCAAAAACUCAUAAACCACCAUUUUUACUCAAGUUUAAGCUUAAAAUCAAGGUACGUAGACUGUCAUUUUGGUGAGGCUUCAUAUUCUUGUUUCAUGAAGUCUCUAUUUUGGGCGAUGUGGUAUUUUGUAAAUACUUUCCUAUCUUAGCGUUGCAGUAGAAAUGUCUAGAUAGACGGAACUCCUUAUCAUGCUUUAUUUUGCGAUGAAUUGCCACGAUAAUACUCUGUUUAAUUAUCAUCGCUUUGUUAUUAUUAUAUUUAUAUAUGCAUGCUUGUUAUGGUUA